AGAGUGAACGCUGGCGGUAGGCCUAACACAUGCAAGUCGAACGGCAGCACAGUAGGAGCUUGCUCUUACGGGUGGCGAGUGGCGGACGGGUGAGGAAUACAUCGGAAUCUACCUUUUGGUGGGGGAUAACGUAGGGAAACUUACGCUAAUACCGCAUACGCCCUUCGGGGGAAAGCCGGGGACCAGCAACGGCCUGGCGCUGAUAGAUGAGCCGAUGUCGGAUUAGCUAGUUGGUGAGGUAAUGGCUCACCAAGGCGACGAUCCGUAACUGGUCUGAGAGGAUGAUCAGUCACACUGGAACUGAAGACCGACGGUCCAGACUCCGUACGGGAGCAGCAGGUGGGAAUAGUUCGGAACAAGUGGGACGAAAGCCUGACUCCAGCCAUCGCCGUCGUGUGAGG
rnacentral:rRNA from 1 species